GUGGGUGUAGCACAAUGGUUAGGGAGCUGGUCUUGUAACUCAGAGGUCGCAGGUUCAGUUCCCAGCUAAA